AGGUAUAUCCUCUCUGCAACAGUCCCUAAAUAAUGCCUUGACAGGCCACACACAAACAGUUUGGGCGACAUCUUGCUUUUGGUGCAGAAGAGACGCAAGUCCUCUCGCAAGAAGUGCAGUUUUGGCAAAGCCUGUUUUUACUUUGUGCCUCUAGCUUUCCUGAUGGAGGGAACCAGGGACAAAAAAGGAGGUGGACCAGACUCUGCUCGACCUGACGACAGUCAAAAGAGGAGAACAAGGCGAAAGAAAAGAGACUGGUGACAUACAAUCCAGCACCGCCAUACCUUCUGCACACUGUGUCAGCGUGAAGCUACAUUUAAGAUGCAUCUGCUGUGCCUUUCACUUUCCUCCUGAUUUUUAUUUGUCUGACAGCAUUCUGUUUCUAUUUCCUGCUGCCGCCAUUUCUCACCAUCUUUUUCUUCACCGCUCUCCUAAUCAGCUGACCAUAUUUGACUGUUCACAUAUUGCUCCUCCUUCAGCUUCACCAUCACCGUUUCUUUCUCCGUUUACAGUAAGGUCAAUGGAUGAUCCCAGUGUUCAUAUGUGAGCAUACAUGUUACUGUGUCUGUACAGUCUGCUGCUGAGUUUAUUCCACUGUGUUGGUAUUGUUAUUAAAUGUUCAUUCUUGACAUCAAGGAUUCACAGUUUGACAAAAUAAUUAAUAAGCAACUUCAACCACUACUCAUAGUUUCCAGCGUCACAUUGAGUUUGCCCUGUCAUCAUCACUUAUGUCAUUUGGUCAUGUGACAGGUAGUCAUUAGGGUAAUACUUACUGUAGAUAAAGGGAAAAGGCUCUGACGUAUUUCGGUAAUUUUAGAUCUUCUUCAAACCAGGUGUAAUAUACAAACUCCUUUUUGAAUUAGAAAUGUUGUAUCAAUGUCUGGCAUUCUGUACGGAAUGUCUUACUUCUUACUUACUAACAUAUAUUUCCAAUUUUUUUUUCAUGUUAUAGAAAUCCAUUAAAAAUAUUCUAGAAAUUGUCUUGAAUGGUAUUUUAUUGCAUGUAUAAAAAACUAUGCACUAAACUGUCAUAACCUUGACAAAAAAUGAAUUCCCAGUUGUUAUAUGAAGGAUAUAUUUAUAUAAAUAAUAUAUAUGAGAGCCAUGGAGCCUGGAAUGUAAAGAAAAAAACAUGAAUCACUAUUAAACACCUCAAGUUGGCCAAAUAGUCAUUAGGGAUGUAAAUGAUAUACAUUUUCCCUGAAUAGAAGAAACUAUGCAGCCCCACUGGUCCUUGCAUGUGUGCAAUAAAAUAAAUUAGCAUUAUUCAGACUUUUGAAUUGAAGGGGGAUGAAGCUGAUGAUGGAGAUAACAUCACCCAAUUCACCCUACCACCCCACCCAGCACUGCCCCCUGCUCCGCCUCGAGGUUUUACUCUCCUGAUCGAUUGGCUCAUCCUGUCUCCAUCCCAGGAAUCCCUCAGCAGCUGAUCAGCACAGCUCCCUUUCCCAAGGACACAGCUAUUCCCAUAUCCGAGAUGCUGGAUUCCUGGCCUAUUCCCACGUGCACCCUUCAAAGGAAAUGUCCCUGGGAAGGCAGCUAUUACCAUGGCAAGGAAUGCAGAAAAGAAAUACAUAGCACGGGAGACAUGUUUGUGUUAGAAUAAAAUCUACUGGUAUUUGUGUUAUGCGUAUUAUUAGCAUUGUUUGACAGCUGAUGUUUCUACGUCCUUUUGAUCAACAUCUGAUUUAAAUAUUGCGCAGAUUACAAUUUUUAAAGCAUUCUUGUUGAAAUUUUUUAAAAUAACAGCCAUAUGAAACACUGUUGAAUAUGUGCAUAACUUCCUUAUAUUUGUAUUUGUUAGUCACCCUCUCUUACCCUGAUGUUACAUCACUGAUGUCCUGGGACUAUAAUGAAGGACCAGAGGGCUGUAGAAAUGAUGAUCACAUGUGGGUUCAGCAUGACAUACUCUGUGUCUUUAAGCAACACGUAAAUGUGAAUUUGUAGGAUUAUGAUGGUCAUAAUGAAUUGAUGAGGAGCAUAUGACAUUAGGUGAGUCCUCAUAAUGUUUGGUGUGCAGAGACUUGGUGUGCAUUAAGAUGUCUUAAUGUUAAGCCACGCCGAGCAGCACACCUCUAGAGAAAGUGUGUUUGCCCUGUUUUUCUGAGAUAACAAGAUCAUUAUCUAAGUAUUGUGGUCUUUUUUUGAAUGGACGUGACAAGAAUACUUCGAUUUGAGCAAAAGCACAAUCAUUUGUUGUCACAUAAUUCAGAAAAACAGCAGUUAUUUCACAAUGAGGAUAAUAAUCUCACUAUUUCAGGGAAACGGAUCCGUCUGCCAGUCCACAGAUUUAAACUGAUGUCAUCAACUGUUGGAUGGAUUGCAAGGACAUUUUGUACAGACAUGCAUGGUACCCAGAUGAUGAAACCUAAUGACUUCAGUGAUCUUCUGACUUCUCCUCCAGCGCCACCAAGAGGUGGUGCGUUGUGCGUGCAGGUUCGGACCCGCGUGGCGCUGCGCUGUGCUCGGCCUGAGUCCCCGUUCUCUGCGUCAUCCCUCUCAUCACGCAGACUGGCCGACCUCAGAUGACUUUGCAGACACACUCUGCAGUCCACCGGUCACGUGCGAAUCUCUCCCCCCCCCCCCUCUCUCUCCCCGCGGUUGCUCGUUUUACUCCGGAUCACAGCGGUAGUGCUUCUCCUGGUAAUCCACAACCUUUACCUAAGUGAGUCCAUCAAAGGAGGAGGGCCAUCCGUCUGCAGCUGUUCACUAGUUGCUUGUGACACGCUCCACUGUAAACGAAGUUAACCUGCGGCCGUGUUGAAGGUACAGAUAGUGUCUCUAUUAACUGAGUUAUCCGCCUAUUUGAAGCUCUGUUAAUUGCUGCCUGAAAGUUGCUUUGAUGUGGCGGAUGCUGUGGGAUGCUACAGUGCUAAGUAUUAAGUCCCAGCACACACACACACACACACACACACAGUGUGACCCGCUAUUCUCUCACUUUCUGUCUUUUUCCAUAAGUUAUGCUCUUCUCUGUAAAUAUCGAUGCAAAUAUAUGCCGAAGAGUUAAGUUCAGGAAGAGGUCAAAUGUGAUGCAUUUCGCUCUACUGCUGUGUCUACAGUUUCACAGUAAAACCACUGUUUGAGAAGGUGCCCUGUGCUCCAUCUCAGGUAACAUGGAGUGUUCCGCUGAGACUAUAAGACAGCACAUGAUCUGCGUACAUUUUUUAAAGCAUGUUCUGUAAAUCAUGGCUUUUAAAAUUAAACAGAGCCUCUCAGCGAUGACGCAUGGAGGAACAUCAA